GGGCUCGGUUAAUCGAGUCUGCUCCUUCGCACUAGAUCUCCAGCACAUCAGAACAGACAGUGUAUGUGUAUAAAUGCCCAGAGGUACUAAAUUUAUUGUGCAUUACCAAAAGCGCAUUAAUGAACCUGUAGACGUGCCACCGAGCCAGUCAAGUUUCAUUUUUUUCUUGGUUUUAGAAGCAUGGCAUGUAAAGGGCAAAUAUGACGGCAAAGACUACAAGCUAUGGCUUACCCACAUUUUUCUUUCAACACUGGUUUUUUUUUUUUGGUAGGCUCUCAACUCCAGGCAAAGCAUUUUCUCAUGCUGAAAGUUGUUUGCCUGAUGUCUCCUCCUCUGUUAUUUCAGAUGAGGGAACUGUCUUCCUCCUCAAAGCAGGAUCUGUCUGCUCAGUCUUAAUCUAUGCUCCCUUUUGUGAAGAUACAUUACUACAUCCUGGAUCUGUUUCCUGUGUCCUGCCUUAUAACACCCCCCACCCCUCCAGCAGCAGGUAAUAGGCAUGGAACAAGGGUUGCACAUUGGGCUGCAGUGCAAUGAAACAAACCUUCAUUUUUAAGAGCUGAUGUAAAGAGCUGCUAGAAGAAGCACUUUGCAGAGUGCACAACACGUUCUGCCAAUCUGUAAAGCUCAGGACCUAUGCUGCCUCAUCUGUAGUCCCUUCUCUGCAUCCGAUAAAACUUUGAGAUUUGAAGAUGCUUCAUACUUUGCACAACUGUUCAGAUCAUCUUACCUGAUGAAGCCCUGAUGAAAGCAAAGAUUUUGAGAGCUUCUGUGAACUUCCUGUAAUAUGGAUCCACUAGUGGAUUUGAGUCCACCAGGACGCAUCUCAACUGCGAAGGGAAACAGGCUAGUAAAUAAAUCAGGGCCAACAUCUGGACACAGGAAUGACACCACAGGCCCCAGCAGGGAUGCGGGCUCCAGGUCACCACCACCCAGUGCUGGGAGCCACUGCAUGUGCCAGCUCUGCCAGCAGUGGACCCAGGAUCAGACCCUCAUGCUGCAACAGCUGGUAGCAGUGGUGGAAGAGCAGGAGGCAUGGGCACAGGCCUAACGGGAAGAGGCCAUUACCCAGGAGACUGCCUGGGGAAGACACAUGGGACUGGGCACAGUGGGAGCACUGGGUCAUGAUGGAGGCCCUGGAGUAGAAGUGGAUUGAGCUGCUCAGGCAGCAAAUGGCCAUCCAGGCCUGGGUAGUAGAGGCCAUGGACAAUGACUGCUUAACUGUGCACAUUGGGCCUGGUGGUUGUGUGUGUGCCCCGCACUUCCUGGUCCCUGCUUCUGGCCCCACAGGGUUCCUGGUAGCUACCCGCCACCCUGCAGAAGGCCCCUGGCUGGGCCUGGGAGUAGGUUCUCUGGUGCCUCCUGCCUUUAGAAGCCCCUGGCCUGGUCCCCAACCUGGGCCUGGUCCUGUUGCUUGCCCUGACACCAUGCACCUGAGGACUCAGAGGUGUCAGGCAUGGCACUGCAAAGGGAUGUUGGCCCUGCACUUGGGGAGCACCAUCUGCCAUUGAGGCAGGACAGGCCCACCACCCACUGUGGUUGCCGUAGUCCCCAGACCCACAGGGGAAUGGCCUGAGACCGGAGUGCUGGCCGUCUACCCCUAGACUCUGUCCCCUAUGCACCCCCACCCCAUGGCCCCCUGCUCAGGGACUCACAGAGACUGAGAGUCUUGUAAAUAGUUUUGACACUGGGGAGAGGGAUUUUUAUUGGUGGUUGGGGAAGGUGGUGGAGGGGCUUGGUUUGUUGGGUAGCGAGUGGGGAGGAGGCUGUAUUGGUUGAGAGGGGAAGGGCGAAAGGAGCUCUGUGUGUUGGUGAGGGAGGGGCAAGAGGUCUCACACACCAGUGUGCCUCCUCUGCCCAGGCCUCCCUGAACAACUCUUCCCUGGGCCUUGCAAAUGUUGUGUAGCACACAGACUGCUACCAUGACCUGGGGGAGGUUUUUCACAGCCACUUUGAGGUGUGUCGUGAGGGACCUCCAGUGGCCUUUGAUGUGGCCAAAGGUGCACUUGAUGAGGGUGUGGGUCCAGCCGAGGCACUGGUUAAAAUGCAAUGGAUGUGUUUUAAAGAUGGCUGCCAAGUGCUGGCAGCUGGGGCUAGAGGCUGGAGCUCCCCUCAUUGACCACAGGGGAGCCUGACAGGGCUGGAAGAACCUGGCACUAAAUUUAGUGCCAGAUCCUUGAAUGUGUAGACACCUUCCAAAAAUCACUUACUGCACAUUAAAUUUAAUUGCAAAUAAUUGCACAUGUAGACGCACCCAGUAAAGAUGCACACAAGGUAUCUGAAUGGUCUCUUUAUAUUACAAGCCUCUAUGUGAUGUGUUAUUUAUUUUUAAAAGGAAAAAAUUUGUUUAAUUUUUAAGUAAUAUCUGGGGCAGGAAAGGAUGCAGGACAGAAAUCAUUAUUGAACAGGAACAAAAACUGGUGCCUAAAAGCUUGUGUCUUUCACUAACAGUUGGUCAUAAGUUAGCAUUCUUGAUCUCUAUGUGUGACACCAGACUCCCUCCUCAUACAACUCUCAGUUCAUCUGAUUUUCAAUCUUAGAAUCCAUUCAGCAGAUUAUUGGUUAGGUUUUGGGUGGAGAAAUAGAAGCAUUGAUGGGCUUGCGAGUAGCUAGGCCCUGAAUUUCACAGUCAGUGAGGCAGGAAAUUAUAUCAAGACAGAACUGACUGUAUGUAAGAAGGAAAAGAAGAAAAUGUGAGGAAUCUGGGAGUCUACUCCUAAAACCCUGCCUCACUACUAGUUUUGUUUCCAAGAUGAAGCCUCAGAGGUCAAGCACGGGACACGUUAUAAAUGGCCAGAACAGAUAGAGGCAGAUCUAGGAUUUUGAAAAGUGGGGUGCAGAUGGUGUGGCGCAUCAUCCCAUAUAACACAACACAUUUUUCUCCAGUUAAAGAGAAACUAGAAAGUUAAAAAAAAUACAAUAAACUAAGGGAAAAAAUCAAAAUAGUUAAAAGGUGUUGCAUAUUUAGUUCCAUAUUUAUUAUAGUUAAAUGUAUGUCUCUCAUUCAGAUUGAUAAAACAAAAUCUAGUCCUCUUGAGCAUCUUGACAGUGCCUUACCCGUAUUUAAAGCUCAUUGAAAAUUUCUGACACAAAAUGCUUCAUCCCUGUAUACUUGCUCAAUGAAAUAGAAAUGUUUGACAGGACAGUACUGAUUUCUUUGACAUUUUCAUAGACAUGAUUAAAAGACUGAAUUUAUCCAAGUGAAAGUCAAUCCAAACAUUUUAUUUUGACUUUUCUGUUUCAAAUUAGAACCGGCAAAAUGAGCAAAACCUAACCCUUGCAUUGAAAUGGAAAUGUUUUGAUAAAGUUGAAACAUUCCCUAAUAAUUUCGCCUGGCAAAAAAUCUCUGAGCUUUUGACUUAUUUUCUUGAUGUGUGAUGAAGCCCAAUUUUGUAACUUCCAAAUUUGCUCGUGGCUGGGGUUUUGAUUUUUGGCCCGUUAUAGUUCUAUUAGCACGGAUUCAGUCCCAUAUGCAUAUUCAUUGACAAGAGUAACUAUGUAUUGGUGGUGGGCUGGGUACACUAUGACUGGUAUAAGUGAUCAGAAACCGGUUUGUAACAAACAGAAGUCCGACAUACACAGACUGGUGUUUAAAAAUUAAAAAAAAUCUGAUCUAAGAUUUGCUCCCCCCCCACGCGAAUGUGUUCUGUUCCCUACCGAUCUACGCCACACUGCUUACAGAAAACCGCGUAACUUAGAUGGAUUCCACCUUGGACUUUUUGAAUGUCUGUACCUAGCCUGGGUGAUUUCCUGGCUUUUUGUAUUGCACAGUUUGCUUAUUAAUUCUGUGCCUCACACACAUGUACUGUUCCCCUAAUUUAUUCCAGAAGCAUGUCAGAAAGUUUUCAUACUUCAUACUAGCCUUCACUGCAGUUUUGAUAACACUUUUUCGUUGACAGAUGAUACUCACAAGGGUGCAAAGCCAGUUAUAUUUACACUCUCCUAGAAGGUUUAGUGCAGUUGUCACAACUUGUCAAGGGUCAGAGCUGAACAGGUCUCAGCCAGCAUAAUGAUACAUUUCUUUUAUGGUACCUGGCAUAUUUGGAAAGAAACUGGUUGUGAAGUAAGCACUUAGAAAAGAAAAAGCAGCUAUUUUCUUUUUGUUCAUGAGCAAAUACUUUAUAUUACAGUCUUGGCAGUCUUCUUCAUUCCAACACUGAUUACAAUAAAGUGAAUUA